GGGCUCUACACUGCCUGCCCCCAGGCCUGGACAUGGAGAGCAGAGCCAUGGUAGUGACAGCAUGUGGAUAACACAGAAGACAACGUCAGGGACAGGAAAUCACAGCUCGGCCCUCAGGUCCCCAGGGGUGUGAACUCCACGCUGCAAAGACUAAGAACAGGAUUGAAACCGGCGGCACCGCUUACUUCCUGAAGUUCCCUUUUCUUCUGGUGGUUUCUGUGUCACAGGGGCCUCCCGCAAGUCCCGAUGCUGACGCCUCUCUGCCCACCUAGUUUGUGGCCGCCGCCUCCAGCUCUGUGUCUGCCUCCCAGCGAGGGAGCCGUGGUUGAUGAUCUCGUGAGUGUCUGCCCUUCUGAAGGUACAGUGUGAAGUCUCAUCAGUCUCACUUCAAUGCCUAAGCACCUCUUCAGAAACCAGGGAUUCAUCCAGGUUUCUCCAUCUUUAACCAUGUUUUCUAAAAGUUUUCUUGGCAAUUUCCUGGCAAUUUGCAAGACAGGAUUUUUUGGUUGCCAACUUCCAAUUAGCUUUAAACUUGCCACGAUCUCCCAGGUCAUCCCGUCCAUCGAUGAUGCUUAUUACAUUCUUCCUGAUUUCCAUGUGGCCAAAUUCAAUAGUUAUUUACCCCAGGCUUGUAUUUUGGAGGCUAAAGAACUCUGUUACCAGCUAUAUCCGUGCUGUGGCUGCCGUAACAAAAUAUCACAAAUGUGGCUUAAAACAACAAAAAUUUUUUCAGAGUUCUGGGAGUCAGGAAUCUGAGAUCAAGGUGUUGGUGGCUGUCUCUGAGUGCUCCAGGGGAGGACCGUCCACCUCUUCCAGCUUCCUGUGGUGCAAUAGUUUGGAUGUGUGUCUCUCCAAAUUUCAUGUUGAGAUGUGAUUCCCAGUGUUGGAGGUGGGCCUGGUGGGAGGUGAUUAGAUCAUGGGGCUGGACCCCUCAUGAAUGGCCUAGCACCAUCUCCCAGGUGAUGAGUGAGUUCUCCCUCAGUUAGUCCCUGUGACAGCUGGUUGUUUAAAAGUCUAGGACGUGCCACUUCUCUUCUCUUGCUCCCUCUUGCCAUGUGACAUGCCUGCUCCCCCUUCGCCUUCUGCCGUGAUUGCAAUCUCCCUGAGGCCUCGCCAGAAGCAGAUGCCAGGGCCGUGUUUCCGGAAUGGCUGCAGAACUUAACACAAAUAGACUAACUCAGAACAUUGGUAUUGAGGAGUGGAACAUUGCUAUAAGGAUACCUGAAAAUGUGGAAGCAGCUUUGGAAUCA
rnacentral:lncRNA from 1 species